CUCCUUGGUCUUGGCCUUUUGGCUAAGAUCAAGUGUAGUAUCUGUUCUCAUCAGUCACUGCACCAGAUACACGCUUUUUUUAGCACCUGCCUCCUGGGCCGGGCCUUUUGGCUAGGACCGGAGGAAUUUUUUAUUCCUGGCCGGAGGGCCUGGUCAUUGUUUCACCACAAUGGCCACUUCUU